rnacentral:rRNA from 1 species
UACGUAGGGUGCAAGCGUUAAUCGGAAUUACUGGGCGUAAAGCGUGCGCAGGCGGUUUUGUAAGACCGAGGUGAAAUCCCCGGGCUCAACCUGGGAACUGCCUUUGUGACUGCAAGGCUUGAGUGCGGCAGAGGGGGAUGGAAUUCCGCGUGUAGCAGUGAAAUGCGUAGAUAUGCGGAGGAACACCGAUGGCGAAGGCAAUCCCCUGGGCCUGCACUGACGCUCAUGCACUAAAGCGUGGGGAGCAAACAGG